UGAGGAAUAUUGGUCAAUGGGCGGGAGCCUGAACCAGCCAAGCCGCGUGAGGGAAGAAGGCCCUAUGGGUCGUAAACCUCUUUUGUCAGGGAACAAAAGCGAGUAUGUAUACUGGUCUGAGUGUACCUGAAGAAAAAGCAUCGGCUAACUCCGUGCCAGCAGCCGCGGUAAUACGGAGGAUGCGAGCGUUAUCCGGAUUUAUUGGGUUUAAAGGGUGCGUAGGCGGCGGUGCAAGUCAGCGGUAAAAGCCCGGGGGCUCAACCCCGGCGAGCCGUUGAAACUGCAGUGCUAGAGAAGGCGAGAGGUACGCGGAAUGCGCAGUGUAGCGGUGAAAUGCUUAGAUAUUGCGCAGAACUCCGAUUGCGAAGGCAGCGUACUGGCGCCUGACUGACGCUGAGGCACGAAAGCGUGGGGGAUCGAACAGGAUUAGAUACC
rnacentral:rRNA from 1 species